CCUACGGGAGGCAGCAGUGAGGAAUAUUGGUCAAUGGGCGCGAGCCUGAACCAGCCAAGUAGCGUGAAGGAUGACUGCCCUACGGGUUGUAAACUUCUUUUAUAAAGGAAUAAAGUGAGGCACGUGUGCCUUUUUGCAUGUACUUUAUGAAUAAGGAUCGGCUAACUCCGUGCCAGCAGCCGCGGUAAUACGGAGGAUCCGAGCGUUAUCCGGAUUUAUUGGGUUUAAAGGGUGCGGAGACGGGUUGGUAAGUCAGUUGUGAAAGUUUGCGGCUCAACCGGAAAAUUGCAAUUGAUACUGGCAGUCUUGAGUACAGUUGAGGUAGGCGGAAUUCGUGGUGUAGCGGUGAAAUGCAUAGAUAUCACGAAGAACUCCGAUUGCGAAGGCAGCUUACUAAACUGCCACUGACAUUGAUGCUCGAAAGUGUGGGUAUCAAACAGGAUUAGAUACCCGGGUAGUC
rnacentral:rRNA from 1 species